rnacentral:rRNA from 1 species
GACGAACCGUGCGAACGUUGUUCGGAUUCACUGGGCUUAAAGGGCGCGUAGGCGGGCUGGCAAGUCAGGGGUGAAACUCCUCCGGCUCAACCGGAGAACAGCCUUUGAUACUGCCAGUCUUAGAGAAAGGUAGGGGCAGUGUGGAACUUCCGGUGGAGCGGUGAAAUGCGUAGAUAUCGGAAGGAAGCCGGUGGCGAAAGCGAACGUGCUGGGACCUUUACUGACGCUGAGGCGCGAAAGCCAGGGAGGCAAACGGG